rnacentral:rRNA from 1 species
AUUGAACGCUGGCGGCAGGCCUAACACAUGCAAGUCGAGCGAGCGGCGGACGGGUGAGUAAUGCCUAGGAAUCUGCCUGGUAGUGGGGGAUAACGUCCGGAAACGGGCGCUAAUACCGCAUACCAUCGGAUGUGCCCAGCUGGGAUUAGCUAGUAGGUGGGGUAACGGCUCACCUAGGCGACGAUCCCUAGCUGGUCUGAGAGGAUUACCAGCCACACUGGAACUGAGACACGGUCCAGACUCCUACGGUAGGCAGCAGUGGGUAAUAUUGCACAAUGGGCGCAAGCCUGAUGCAGCCAUGCCGCGUGUAUGAAGAAGGCCUUCGGGUUGUAAAGUACUUUCAGCGAGGAGGCGUUACUCGCAGAAGAAGCACCGGCUAACUCCGUGCCAGCCGCCGCGGUAAUAC